rnacentral:rRNA from 1 species
GUGGGUAGUUUGACUGGGGCGGUCUCCUCCCAAAGAGUAACGGAGGAGCACGAAGGUGGGCUAAUCACGGUUGGACAUCGUGAGGUUAGUGCAAUGGCAUAAGCCCGCUUGACUGCGAGAAUGACAAUUCGAGCAGGUGCGAAAGCAGGUCAUAGUGAUCCGGUGGUUCUGAAUGGAAGGGCCAUCGCUCAACGGAUAAAAGGUACUCCGGGGAUAACAGGCUGAUACCGCCCAAGAGUUCAUAUCGACGGCGGUGUUUGGCACCUCGAUGUCGGCUCAUCACAUCCUGGGGCUGAAGUCGGUCCCAAGGGUAUGGCUGUUCGCCAUUUAAAGUGGUACGCGAGCUGGGUUUAGAACGUCGUGAGACAGUUCGGUCCCUAUCUGCCGUGGGCGUUGGAAGAUUGAAGGGGGCUGCUCCUAGUACGAGAGGACCGGAGUGGACGAACCUCUGGUGUUCGGGUUGUGUCGCCAGACGCAUUGCCCGGUAGCUAAGUUCGGAAUCGAUAACCGCUGAAAGCAUCUAAGCGGGAAGCGAGCCCUGAGAUGAGUCUUCCCUGAUACUUUAAGUAUCCUAAAGGGUUGUCGGAGACUACGACGUUGAUAGGUCAGGUGUGUAAGUGCUGUGAGGCAUUGAGCUAACUGAUACUAAUUGCCCGUGAGGCUUAACCAU